rnacentral:tRNA from 1 species
GCGGGCAUAGCUCAAUGGCAGAGCUCCAGCCUUCCAAGCUGGUGGUGCGGGUUCGAUUCCCGCUGCCCGCUCCA